rnacentral:lncRNA from 1 species
AGAGAUGCUGUGGAUGUGUUGAAGGUGGGGCAGAUUCAGGUACAACAGGAGGACACAUGCUGUCACUGUCGAUUUUCACUGGAGAGUCUGGACGCUCCAAGGUGGAUACCUGCCCUGUCCUGAUGGCCUGAGGAGAGGGACCUGGAAAGCAGUGUCUCUGAGGCAUGCUGCUCUGAAGACAACUCCACAUGACCACCUUUAAAGCACUUCUACCCAACUCCCAACAGGCAGAUGGCGAGACUCAGCUCAAAGUCAUACCCUCGUAAGAGACAAACAUUUAUCCUAGGAUCUAAAACCAAAGCUUGGAGUCUACUCAAAAUGUCACAUGCUAUUCUCUCUUCUUCUGAAGACGUCAUCCAGUUGGGCCUGUCAAUCACCUGGCCAGGAACCCACCUGUUCCUCCCCACACUACCUACCUGCUCCUCUCCACACUAUCUGCUCCUCUCCACACCAGGAAAGCUGAUUGAUCUGAAGCCAUGCUAGGAGGAUGGGCAGAAUAACUAUCCCUUUAAUGAGUGUACUUUCUCUAGUCUUAAUUCAGGAAAUGUGACUCUUUGUUUUCUAUCUUUUUACAUCUCUGUCUUUUGGGUCCUGGCCCAAAGCCUGAGUGUGCUUUCCCCAACACUCUGGACUUUCUUGCUCUUUCUUUAAAGCCCUCCCUUCGCCUCCUCUACCUUUUCUAAUCUAUUUCUGUCCCAGCAGCUGCCAGGCCUUACAGCUUCCCAACCCUGUUGUUUAUCUCCUAAA